rnacentral:rRNA from 1 species
UGAGGCGUGGCUUCCGGAGCUAACGCGUUAAGUAGACCGCCUGGGGAGUACGGCCGCAAGGUUAAAACUCAAAUGAAUUGACGGGGGCCCGCACAAGCGGUGGAGCAUGUGGUUUAAUUCGAUGCAACGCGAAGAACCUUACCUGGUCUUGACAUCCAGAGAACUUUCCAGAGAUGGAUUGGUGCCUUCGGGAACUCUGAGACAGGUGCUGCAUGGCUGUCGUCAGCUCGUGUUGUGAAAUGUUGGGUUAAGUCCCGCAACGAGCGCAACCCUUAUCCUUUGUUGCCAGCGGUCCGGCCGGGAACUCAAAGGAGACUGCCAGUGAUAAACUGGAGGAAGGUGGGGAUGACGUCAAGUCAUCAUGGCCCUUACGACCAGGGCUACACACGUGCUACAAUGGCAUAUACAAAGAGAAGCGACCUCGCGAGAGCAAGCGGACCUCAUAAAGUAUGUCGUAGUCCGGAUUGGAGUCUGCAACUCGACUCCAUGAAGUCGGAAUCGCUAGUAAUCGUGGAUCAGAAUGCCACGGUGAAUACGUUCCCGGGCCUUGUACACACCGCCCGUCACACCAUGGGAGUGGGUUGCAA